rnacentral:rRNA from 1 species
GACGAACGCUGGCGGCGUGCUUAACACAUGCAAGUCGAGCGGUAAGGCCCUUUCGGGGGUACACGAGCGGCGAACGGGUGAGUAACACGUGGGUGACCUGCCUCUAGCUCUGGGAUAAGCCUGGGAAGCUGGGUCUAAUACCGGAUAUGACCUCGCGGUGCAUGUUGCGGGGUGGAAAGCCUUGUGCGGCUAGGGAUGGGCCCGCGGCCUAUCAGCUUGUUGGUGGGGUGAUGGCCUACCAAGGCGACGACGGGUAGCCGGCCUGAGAGGG